rnacentral:rRNA from 1 species
GAUGAACGCUGGCGGCGUGCCUAAUACAUGCAAGUCGAGCGAACAGACGAGGAGCUUGCUCCUCUGACGUUAGCGGCGGACGGGUGAGUAACACGUGGAUAACCUACCUAUAAGACUGGGAUAACUUCGGGAAACCGGAGCUAAUACCGGAUAAUAUAUUGAACCGCAUGGUUCAUAGUGAAAGACGGUUUUGCUGUCACUUAUAGAUGGAUCCGCGCCGCAUUAGCUAGUUGGUAAGGUAACGGCUUACCAAGGCGACGAUGCGUAGCCGACCUGAGAGGGUGAUCGGCCACACUGGAACUGAGACACGGUCCAGACUCCUACGGGAGGCAGCAGUAGGGAAUCUUCCGCAAUGGGCGAAAGCCUGACGGAGCAACGCCGCGUGAGUGAUGAAGGUCUUCGGAUCGUAAAACUCUGUUAUUAGGGAAGAACAAAUGUGUAAGUAACUAUGCACGUCUUGACGGUACCUAAUCAGAAAGCCACGGCUAACUACGUG